UACAGAGGGUGCAAGCGUUGUUCGGAAUUACUGGGCGUAAAGCGCGUGUAGGUGGCGAUGUAAGUCGGGUGUGAAAUCCCUUGGCUCAACCAAGGAAGUGCACUCGAUACUGUGUCGCUUGAGUACUGGAGGGGAUGGCGGAAUUCCCGGUGUAGAGGUGAAAUUCGUAGAUAUCGGGAGGAACACCGGUGGCGAAGGCGGUCUUCUGGACGGUGACUGACGCUGAGGCGCGAAAGCGUGGGGAGCAAACGGG
rnacentral:rRNA from 1 species